rnacentral:RNase_P_RNA from 1 species
GUCAGAGGGAAGCUCACCAUUGAGGUCACAUACAGGGUGCUUGUCACCUACUCUUCAGUACCUCUGGGAAGGUCUGAGACAAGAGCCAUUAGCUGCCCUUGCAGGGUAUCACCUGCUGCAGGGGAAUGAGUUACCAGCUAUGUGGGGCCUUGGAGUGGAAUGUGUGGCAGGAGAAACCAGAGGCUUGCUCCCCUGGCAGAUGCCCAUUCUCUCAAGGGCUUUGAAACAGGCUCAUGGCUGGCACCACUGAGCACGAUGGGAUGAGGUGAGGCCUUGUGGGCCUCAUAACCCAACUCAGACUACUCUCCUGCUGAC